rnacentral:rRNA from 1 species
UACGAGAGGCCCAAACGUUAUUCGGAUUUACUGGGCUUAAAGAGUUUGUAGGCGGUUCGGUAAGUGAGAUGUGAAAGCCCUCGGCUCAACCGAGGAAUUGCGUUUCAAACUGACCGGGCGUCGAGGGAGGAUAGAGGUGAGCGGAACUGAUGGUGGAGCGGUGAAAUGCGUUGAUAUCAUCAGGAACACCAGAGGCGAAGGCGGCUCACUGGGUCUCUUCUGACGCUGAGAAACGAAAGCUAGGGGAGCAAACGGG